CCAUAGAACAUGGAGUCCAGGAGCUAGUCAACCUCACCCUGAAAUGCACAAUCCGUACCACAACUGAUUCGCUGGAAACUUUGCAAGAGAUUCCACAUAAAGACGAUACCUGCCCCAGACGAAAGAAACGUGUGCUACAGAUUUAUGUUGCAUGCAUCUCUUCGCUGUUAUUGCUCUUCAUAUUCUCAGCCGAUCUCUUCAUGAAGCGAAUGGGAUGUCACAUCUCUUCGUGAGCGAAAAUGUCGCAUCGAUGCCUUUGAAGCCGUGUGUCCAGUACUCUGGGGAAACGCUCGAGACAGCACAACAUUUAUACCUCCACGUUGAAGGGCUUAGAAUCUUCAGGGUGAUCGACGCUGAGGAAGGUAUGGCUGCGGUAUUCUCAAGGUUCUUCUCUGCGGUUUCAAACAAGGUAUUGUAACAAGAUCUUCAACACGAUGACCUUCAUCGAACGUCAUUGGUACAAACUUCAUACGACAAAGCCUAGAGCAGUUGUCAUAAAACUUUGUAGUGUGCCCAUUAUACCAUGCCCUCCUUGCUAGUGCCUUGCGAGAUUUUUUAGUUCUUUUUUCAUUUUAAUAUGUGCAGGUUGCUAUGAUGCUGCUCAUUCGUUGUCCUCUGAAGAAUCAAGGCAGAGCGAUCUGCCAUGCUUUAUAUACAGGCUUCGCCAAGAUAAACUUCGGGGUUUGUAACGGAGGUAAAACGAAUAAGAACAGUGUCGGAAAGCUAAAGUAG